rnacentral:rRNA from 1 species
UACUCGAGUGGCGAACGGGUGAGUAACACGUGGGUGAUCUGCCCUGCACUCCGGGAUAAGCCUGGGAAACUGGGUCUAAUACCGGAUAGGACGAUGGUUUGGAUGCCAUUGUGGAAAGUUUUUCGGUGUGGGAUGAGCUCGCGGCCUAUCAGCUUGUUGGUGGGGUAAUGGCCUACCAAGGCGUCGACGGGUAGCCGGCCUGAGAGGGUGUACGGCCACAUUGGGACUGAGAUACGGCCCAG